GUGAUUCUCCUGCCUCAGCCUCCUGAGUAGCUGGGGUUAUAGCCAUGGACUCCUGGAGAGACGCCUUGGAGGGAACCUGCGAAAAGAUACCAGCAAGAAACAACUCGGAGUUUCAGAUUACUUCCAACCAGGACAGCCUACAAGAUAGCAGUACAAUCGGGAGAAUUGGGCAAUGUAAUUAUAGUAUGGAAAUGAUGUUGAUCACUCAAGCAGAGUGUAGACCUUGAAUCUAAAACCUUGCUCUGUCUUCCCACCCAUUUUCCAUGGCUCGCACUUGAAGCUGUAGCCACCACACCCAGGAAAGCUGGAGCUAGGUUUCAACACCAAGGAUGACCCUGGAAGGUCACUUGUUGAAACUGGCAGAGCCAUCAGGAGCCUGGGUUCUUGAAUGAACCAGUGGAGCAGAGCCCUCCUUCCCUCCCCCAUCCUCUGGUGCCCUGAACCUGCAUUGCAUCGUCAGGUAAGUAAAACCUGCACUGAUUGAGUUGAGGAGAAACAUGAGGGUUGUCAAUUGCAACAGUUAGAUAAACUUUAUAACAGGUGCUGGGGGAAUGAACAUUCAUGCAAACUUUUUUUUGGCACCUACUACAGUCCAGGAAACAUAGUGAGUGGCCAGAAUGAGGCACAGCUCACUCAUUCAAACAACUCUACUAGGCUAUGGGGCUGCAGAGAUAGAUUCAUAACAAUUUCCACAAACAAUCAUUAGGUAAUUAGUAUGCCCCAGUCGUGGAGUUAAACUUUGAGGACACAAAGAAUAAUUCAUUCAAACAUGGAUUAAGUUUACUACUACGUGCUUGACACCGGGUUGAGUAUUAGGGAAUCAAAGAUAAACAUAACUGUUCUCUUCAAGGGGUUCACAAUCUGGUGGAAGAGCCACAUCACGUCCUGGUGUUGCAAGUAUGGGAAGUGUUCAAAUAGAACUUUCCAUGAGAUUCCAUGAUGACCCAGGAAAUUAUCUCUGCUUGAGGCUGAGGGAGAAGAGGAGGGAGCAUGGAAGGCUGCAAUAAAUGGUGGUUUUAGAUCUCAGCUUUGAAGGAUGAAUAUAAGUUUUCUAGGCAGAGAAUAGGUGGAAGGGAAAUCCAGGCAGAGGACACAGCAUGUGCAAUGGGGGUGUGUCCUGGGAUCAAUGAAGAGUUCUGUGUGUCUGGAGCUCAGGGACAGGGGCAAGGACAGAAGCAAGUGAACAGGGUGGCAGCCUGACUGUAUGGCAGAUGCUCUCCUCUUUCUCCCUGCAGGGUUUGUGUGAUUGGACUUAGCAGGGCUAACAGGCUGAGAUUAAUCCCAUCCUGGACUGAGGCGGGAGUAGACAUUCUGUCUGAUGCCUCUCCCACUGGACAAGGACUGGGGUUCAUUUUAAAAUGAUAUCUUAAUGAGGAACCUCACGAUGUCAUCCUGCUAAUAUCAUCCCCAUUUUAUGAAUGAGUAAAUUACUCAUUCAGAUGACACGGCUGUUUGAGCCCAGGUUGGCACUUAAGCCUCCAAGUGAGAUUGCAUUUAUAAUGUGCUUGUGGCCCCUGUAGAGUAGGAAAGGGGUUUCCAGAUCAAACAAUGAGGCAGAGGCUCUGAAAAUCUCGGGGUGAUUGACUAUAUUUGGCAGAGGCCAAGGAAGUUCCCCUUCCAAACACUAACCAGAACUAGUUCCACCUGGCACUCGUGUGU